rnacentral:misc_RNA from 1 species
GAACUUUAGGGUUUUGAAAUGCCAUAGCAACUUCAGGAUUUGCCAUAAUUUUGGAUAUGACCUCUUCUGGGGUGAGUCCUAUCUGAUCAAACUGUUCCUUGACUUCAGGACUGCUAAGAUCGAAAUUUUUCAAGGAUUCCAUCAUACGGCCAUCCCACUCACUGCUUCCUCCCAUAUCAUUUAGCAUAUUUUCCAAUUGCUUGCGGUAUUCUGGAUUUUGUAGCAUCCACUUGAAAGAAGUCGGGUUCCUCAUCUCCGCAGGCAAGUAG